rnacentral:rRNA from 1 species
GAGAGGUAACGGCUCACCAAGGCAUCGACGGGUAGCUGGUCUGAGAGGAUGAUCAGCCACACUGGAACUGAGACACGGUCCAGACUCCUACGGGAGGCAGCAGUGGGGAAUCUUGCACAAUGGGCGAAAGCCUGAUGCAGCGAUGCCGCGUGCGGGAAGAAGGCCCUAGGGUUGUAAACCGCUUUCAGGAGGGAAGAAAAUGACGGUACCUCCAGAAGAAGGUGCGGCCAACUACGUGCCAGCAGCCGCGGUGACACGUAGGCACCAAGCGUUAUCCGGAUUUAUUGGGCGUAAAGAGCUCGUAGGCGGUUUGGUAAGUCGGGUGUGAAAACUCUGGGCUCAACCCAGAGAGGCCACUCGAUACUGCUAUGACUAGAGUACGGUAGGGGAGCGGGGAAUUCCUGGUGUAGCGGUGAAAUGCGCAGAUAUCAGGAGGAACACCAGCGGCGAAGGCGCCGCUCUGGGCCGUAACUGACGCUGAGGAGCGAAAGCAUGGGUAGCAAACAGGAUUAGAUACCCUGGUAGUCCACGCCGUAAACGGUGGGCACUAGGUGUGGGGACUUUCAACGGUCUCUGCGCCGAAGCUAACGCAUUAAGUG